UCCUCCUCUCCUCUCUUCUCUCCCUCUUUCUCUCUUUCUCUCUCCUAUAACUCCAGAGCAACAGGGUGUCACCUCGAGGUCCCCAGUGGGGGACUGCCCCUUAUCCACCCCCCACCCCGCAGUGUGGGGUGAGAGACUUAGAUGCCCACCUGGGGCCAAGUGGAAAGUGAUGGAUGCCAUGACUCACACAACUUCUGAAUUGAUCCAUUGACUAUCCCUGCUGCUUGUACCCUGGACUGCCUGCUGCCCAACUCUACUUGCCCUUGAGGAUUGGAGAUAAUUGUGGAGAAGAUGAACUUUCUGGAGUAUCUCACAGAAAAAACGUAUGCCGAGGAAGAAAAAUCCUACACAUUAUUCCCUUUAAAGUCUUCUGUUGAUACACAACUGCCACUCCAACAGGCUCUCCCUUGGUGCCUCCAGGCUACUGAAACCAGGAAUGCAGUAAGACUAACUACAGAUUUUCACCCCUCCUUCCUAUCCUCCAAAUACAAUCCCACUGCCUCACUCCCAACUCUGUAGCAUACUGUCAGGAGCCAUUUAGGAAAGGCU